rnacentral:rRNA from 1 species
CGCGGCCUAUCAGCUUGUUGGCGAGGUAACGGCUCACCAUGGCGACGACGGGUAGCUGGUCUGAGAGGAUGGUCAGCCGGACUGGGACUGAGAUACGGCCCAGACUCCUACGGGGGGCAGCAAUUAGGAAUCUUGCGCAAUGGGCGAAAGCCUGACGCAGCGACGCCGCGUGGAGGAGGAAGUCUUUCGGGAUGUAAACUCCUUUUGGGUGGGAAGAAAACAAUGACGGUACCACCUGAAUAAGCCCCGGCUAACUACGUGCCAGCAGCCGCGGUAAUACGUAGGGGGCGAGCGUUGUCCGAAGUUACUGGGCGUAAAGCGCGCGUAGGCGGGUUGGCAAGUCUGCUGUGAAAGCCCGGAGCUUAACUCCGGAGGGUCGGUGGAUACUGCCAGUCUUGAAGUGGCUAGGGGGAGAUGGAAUUACCGGUGUAGCGGUGAAAUGCGUAGAGAUCGGUAGGAACACCAGUGGCGAAGGCGGUCUCCUGGAGCUAACUUGACGCUGAUGCGCGAAAGCUGGGGGAGCAAACGGGAUUAGAUACCCCGGUAGUCCCAGCCCUAAACGAUGGAUACUAGGUGUCGGGGGUAUCGACCCCUCCGGUGCCGCAGCUAACGCAGUAAGUACCCCGCCUGGGGAGUACGG